rnacentral:rRNA from 1 species
CUGGCUCAGGAUGAACGCUGGCGGCGUGCUUAACACAUGCAAGUCGAACGGAGUUAUAUGAACCUAGUGAUUAUAAACUUAGUGGCGGACGGGUGAGUAACGCGUGGGUAACCUGCCUUAUACCGGGGGACAACAGUUAGAAAUGACUGCUAAUACCGCAUAAGCGCACGGUGUCGCAUGACACAGUGUGAAAAACUCCGGUGGUAUAAGAUGGACCCGCGUCUGAUUAGCCAGUUGGUGAGGUAACGGCCCACCAAAGCAACGAUCAGUAGCCGGCCUGAGAGGGUGAACGGCCACAUUGGGACUGAGACACGGCCCAAACUCCUACGGGAGGCAGCAGUGGGGAAUAUUGGACAAUGGGGGAAACCCUGAUCCAAGCGACGCCGCGUGAGUGAAGAAGUAUUUCGGUAUGUAAAGCUCUAUCAGCAAGGAAGAUAAUGACGGUACUUGACUAAGAAGCCCCGGCUAACUACGUGCCAGCAGCCGC